rnacentral:tRNA from 1 species
GGAGAGAUGGCCGAGUCGGCUGAAGGCGCUCGCCUGCUAAGCGAGUGUACGCUGUAAAGGUGUACCGAGGGUUCGAAUCCCUCUCUCUCCG